AAACCUUGAUGAGGGCAGAGCCUCAUCAUAUAUUUAUAUCUCUCACAAGCUGCGAAAAGCUAUUCUCCAUCUUUCUGCCUAAAACCAUUUAUUUGGCUUCUUAGCAU